CCUACGGGUGGCAGCAGUGAGGAAUAUUGGUCAAUGGACGAGAGUCUGAACCAGCCAAGUAGCGUGAAGGAUGACUGCACUAUGGGUUGUAAACUUCUUUUAUAAAGGAAUAAAACGAGGCACGUGUGCCUGUUUGCAUGUACUUUAUGAAUAAGGAUCGGCUAACUCCGUGCCAGCAGCCGCGGUAAUACGGAGGAUGCGAGCGUUAUCCGGAUUUAUUGGGUUUAAAGGGAGCGUAGAUGGGUUGUUAAGUCAGUUGUGAAAGUUUGCGGCUCAACCGUAAAAGUGCAAUUGAUACUGGCAGUCUUGAGUACAGUUGAGGUAGGCGGAAUUCGUGGUGUAGCGGUGAAAUGCUUAGAUAUCACGAAGAACCCCGAUUGCGAAGGCAGCUUACUAAACUGUGACUGACAUUGAUGCUCGAAAGUGUGGGUAUCAAACAGGAUUAGAUACCCGAGUAGUC
rnacentral:rRNA from 1 species